UACGAAGGUGGCAAGCGUUGUUCGGAUUUACUGGGCGUACAGGGAGCGUAGGCGGUUGGACAAGCCCUCCGUGAAAUCUCCAGGCUUAACCUGGAAAGUGCAGAGGGGACUGUUCAGCUAGAGGAUGGGAGAGGAGCGCGGAAUUCCCGGUGUAGCGGUGAAAUGCGUAGAGAUCGGGAGGAAGGCCGGUGGCGAAGGCGGCGCUCUGGAACAUUUCUGACGCUGAGGCUCGAAAGCGUGGGGAGCAAACAGG
rnacentral:rRNA from 1 species